rnacentral:rRNA from 1 species
AUUGACCGCUGGCGGCAGGCCUAACACAUGCAAGUCGAACGAGGGGCGGACGGGAGAGUAAUGUCUGGGAAACUGCCUGAUGGCGGGGGAUAAAUACUGGAAACGGUAGCUAAUACCGCAUAACAUCAGAUGUGCCCAGAUGGGAUUAGCGAGUUGGUGGGGUAACGGCUCACCAAGGCGACGAUCCCUAGCUGGUCUGAGAGUAGGACCAGCCACACUGGAACUGAGACACGGUCCUGCUUACAACGGGAGGCAGCAGUGGGGAAUAUGGCACACUGUGCGCACGCCUGAGGCAGCCAUGCGGCGUGUAUGAAGAAGGCCUUCGGGUUGUAAAGUACUUUCAGCGGGGAGGCGUUACCCGCAGAAGAAGCACCGGCUAACUCCGUGCCAGCAGCCGCGGUAAUUC